rnacentral:rRNA from 1 species
AUGGAAAUAAGGCUGGUGCUGAUCGUUGCGUUCUGCUCGAGUGCUGCUACCAUAGUUACGUGUAGGAGCGCAGGGCUACACAUGGAGCUCAUCCAUGUUGAUGGCAAGGGGAACUACACAGUGGCGGAGCGCGUGCAGCGCGCCAUGGCCAGCAGCCGGCAGCUCCUGGCGUCCUUUGUCGACGUGAGCGCGCCGGUCCACUGGAACACCAGCCAGUACAUUGCCGAGUACCUGAUCGGCAACCCACCGCAGCGCGCCGAGGCCCUCAUCGACACCGGUAGCGACCUCAUCUGGACGCAGUGCUCCACCUGCAGCCUCAAAGGAUCCUGCGUCAUGCAGGGCCUGCCCUACUAUAACGCGUCCAAGUCGGACAGCUUCCACCCCGUGCCAUGCAACGAAACCUUGUGCCUAGCCAACCGGGCGCACUCGUGCCGCCGGGAUGGCAGCUGCGCUUUCGGGGCCUUCUACGGCGUUGGCGACGCUAGAGGGUCCAUCGGCACGGAGGUGGGCGCCAAAAAGUUCUCAUACUGUCACACCCCCUAUCUGCGCCGCAACGCCACCGCCGGUGCCAGCAGCCACCUUUUCGUCGGCGCCUCGGCGAGCCUUAGCGGCGGCAGCCCUGUGAUGUCCAUGUCUUUCGUGCAAGGCCCUAAUAAGUACCCAUUCUACUAUGUCCCACUCAUCGGGAUAAGCGUGGGACAAACAAGGCUUUCCAUCCCACCGAUGGUGUUCGCUCUGAAACAAAACGGCACCGGCGGCGGUGUCUUUGUCGACUCCGGUAACCCCACUUCGGUUCUGGUCGAUGGGGCGUACAGGCCUCUGAGAGAGGAGCUCCGGAGGCAGCUAAACGGGAGCCUCCUGCCACCACCAGCUGGCAGUGGGAUCGACCUGUGUGUGGCAGUGGCGCAGGAAAAGACAGUGCCGUCCAUGGUGUUCCACUUCACUGGCGGAGCGGACAUGGUGCUGCCGCCAGAGAACUACUGGGUGCCG